UACGUAGGGGGCGAGCGUUGCCCGGAAUUACUGGGCGUAAAGAGAGCGUAGGCGGCACUACAAGUCUCAUGUGAAAUACCCGGGCUUAACUUGGGGGUUGCAUGGGAAACUGUAGAGCUUGAGUACAGGAGAGGCAAGCGGAAUUCCUAGUGUAGCGGUGAAAUGCAUAGAUAUUAGGAGGAACACCAGUGGCGAAGGCGGCUUGCUGGACUGAAACUGACGCUGAGGCUCGAAAGCGUGGGGAGCAAACAGG
rnacentral:rRNA from 1 species